rnacentral:rRNA from 1 species
GAGUUUGAUCCUGGCUCAGAUUGAACGCUGGCGGCAUGCUUUACACAUGCAAGUCGGACGGCAGCACAGAGAAGCUUGCUUCUCGGGUGGCGAGUGGCGAACGGGUGAGUAACAUAUCGGAACGUACCGAGUAGUGGGGGAUAACUGAUCGAAAGAUCAGCUAAUACCGCAUACGUCUUGAGAGAGAAAGCAGGGGACUUUCGGGCCCUGCGCUAUUCGAGCGGCCGAUAUCUGAUUAGCUAGUUGGUGGGGUAAAGGCCUACCAAGGCGACGAUCAGUAGCGGGUCUGAGAGGAUGAUCCGCCACACUGGGACUGAGACACGGCCCAGACUCCUACGGGAGGCAGCAGUGGGGAAUUUUGGACAAUGGGCGCAAGCCUGAUCCAGCCAUGCCGCGUGUCUGAAGAAGGCCUUCGGGUUGUAAAGGACUUUUGUCAGGGAAGAAAAGGCUGUUGCUAAUAUCAGCGGCUGAUGACGGUACCUGAAGAAUAAGCACCGGCUAACUACGUGCCAGCAGCCGCGGUAAUACGUAGGGUGCGAGCGUUAAUCGGAAUUACUGGGCGUAAAGCGGGCGCAGACGGUUACUUAAGCAGGAUGUGAAAUCCCCGGGCUCAACCCGGGAACUGCGUUCUGAACUGGGUGACUCGAGUGUGUCAGAGGGAGGUAGAAUUCCACGUGUAGCAGUGAAAUGCGUAGAGAUGUGGAGGAAUACCGAUGGCGAAGGCAGCCUCCUGGGACAACACUGACGUUCAUGCCCGAAAGCGUGGGUAGCAAACAGGAUUAGAUACCCUGGUAGUCCACGCCCUAAACGAUGUCAAUUAGCUGUUGGGCAACUUGAUUGCUUAGUAGCGUAGCUAACGCGUGAAAUUGACCGCCUGGGGAGUACGGUCGCAAGAUUAAAACUCAAAGGAAUUGACGGGGACCCGCACAAGCGGUGGAUGAUGUGGAUUAAUUCGAUGCAACGCGAAGAACCUUACCUGGUCUUGACAUGUACGGAAUCCUCCAGAGACGGAGGAGUGCCUUCGGGAGCCGUAACACAGGUGCUGCAUGGCUGUCGUCAGCUCGUGUCGUGAGAUGUUGGGUUAAGUCCCGCAACGAGCGCAACCCUUGUCAUUAGUUGCCAUCAUUCAGUUGGGCACUCUAAUGAGACUGCCGGUGACAAGCCGGAGGAAGGUGGGGAUGACGUCAAGUCCUCAUGGCCCUUAUGACCAGGGCUUCACACGUCAUACAAUGGUCGGUACAGAGGGUAGCCAAGCCGCGAGGCGGAGCCAAUCUCACAAAACCGAUCGUAGUCCGGAUUGCACUCUGCAACUCGAGUGCAUGAAGUCGGAAUCGCUAGUAAUCGCAGGUCAGCAUACUGCGGUGAAUACGUUCCCGGGUCUUGUACACACCGCCCGUCACACCAUGGGAGUGGGGGAUACCAGAAGUAGGUAGGGUAACCGCAAGGAGUCCGCUUACCACGGUAUGCUUCAUGACUGGGGUGAAGUCGUAACAAGGUAGCCGUAGGGGAACCUGCGGCUGGAUCACC